rnacentral:lncRNA from 13 species
CGUUUGCUCCGAGAGGGGAGCUGGAGGGGAAAGGAGGGACAGUUGUCUUUUUUUCCUUUUUUCUAUUACAAAAGAACCCCAAUGUCUCCUUUUGAAGCGAGCUCAUCAUGUGGCCCGCCUGUGGGGCGAGGGGCUGCGGCUCCCUAGAGCUGAGCAGGGUGGAGGCUCUGCCUUCCAGGCUCCUGGGCCGAAGGGCGGGCUCCCAGCCAUCCAGAGCGCAGCACACAUUUCAAAGACAUCUCCAUCCCUUUAAUUCCGAGAUGCGGUAAGCGCCUCUGACCCCCACCCUGUGCGCUCACAAUACCUGCUUCUGGGAUGAAUCAACGAAUCUAGGACAAGCAGCCAGAAGUGAAACAGGCAACCUGCUCUUUCAUCUCCGAGUUUCCAACAACAUCAGGGAGGCAGAGCCAAAAAGUCAGAGGGAGGCGGGCAGUGGGCUGGUGCCCGACUCCCGGCAGAGACCCUCAAAGCCUGCAGAGCCCAGGGGGCCCCCAACAGCCGCUGAUGGGGCCACACUGCCCGGAUGCCUCUGCCAGGCUGAGAAACACGCUGAGCCCUGGUUCCCAUAAAUUCGGCUUUUAUGUGGCUGUGAAUAGGAGUGAACAAUGGAUCUAUUGCAGGCUGCACAGAACUGGCCCAGCCUGGGUUUCCCUCCCGCAGUUAGGAGCCUUGGCAUGGCAGCGUUCUGGAGCCCCCGGCCUGUCUGUAAGCCUCCUAAACACCAGCGCCUGCUUGAAUUUGGGGGAGGAGAUUCCACCAUCCCCUGGGGUCUGUUGCGGGCAACCCAGACGGUGGUUACUGCAGAUUCCCAUGGCUGUGGCUCAGGCUUGGCCACACAGCUUUGGGUUGUGUCUUCCAGUUUCCCUCAGCCCCCUUCCAACUGUGGCUCCCGCUGUUCAAGCCCUUCCCCUCCUGCGGAAGCCAGCCCACCCCUGCAGGCAUUUGGGCAUCAUACCCAGUCAGAACCCUCACUCUGGGAGAGGCCAGUGACCCGGACGGGAGCUUCCCUAUGGAGAGGACGUGUGGCAAGGAGGGAUCUGAAUCCUGGUGACAGCCAUUAGGGAUCUGAAUCCCGGUGACAGCCAGGCAGGUGAGUCAAGUGGCUUUUUCCCCGGUUGUGCCUUUGGGUGACUGUCCUCUAGCCGAUAACUUGCAAGAGACACUGAGUCAGAAGAACCGGCGGUCCUGUGCCUGGAUUCCUGGCUCACUCGUGAAAUGGUAAACACUUGUUAUUUGGGGUCUGUUACGCUGAGCCAAUGUGCUUUGUCACUGGGAAUAGGUGAAUAAUGCAGCACUGUCUCUUUCCCUCCCGGACCUUCUCUGUUGAACUGUUGCUGUCUCACACUGAGUUUCCUUUCCUCUUCCUGCCAACACAGCCGUAUUGAUUUGGGUUAAAUCAAUACUCAUGCCUCGUGGGAUCAGGACCAUGUAAGUACCAUAUAACCCUGAGCCAGGCGGUGCCUUCUAGUGGUAUUUCUUUCUCUGCACAUUUUUAUUUUCCUGGAGUUAGUUAUUGCCUUGCUUUUAUUUAAAAAGAAACAAAACGUUAGCUUUCCACAUGCCUAUGUAUAUUCCAAAUGUUCUAACGGAAUUCUCAAAUGCUGGCAACACAUUUUCAAAUGCUCAGAUGCACCAGACAAUCCCGUUUCCAUUUUCCUUUUCUCCUGGCACUUUCCCUCUUUGGACCUUCGCCCCUUGCUCUGGAGUCUUGGUUCUCUGGACCCGAGGUGCACCUGCCGCUCUGGGGGAUGCCUUUCACCCCUCUUCUGAGUUGCACAAGCUGUUUUCUGUAUCCCAGGGUUUCCCUGUACACGGUGUCACCCAAACACUGUAGAAUCUUAGGAAAAAGACAUGGAAAUAAAAUGUUGACUCCUGGUAGGUCUGAAAAUACC